GGGGCCCUGAAGGUAGGAAAAAUAUCCCAAGUGUUCAGUGUCAUCUUACUAGCUCGGAUCUCAGCUUACAGGCAGCCAUUGGCCUCCUGUCUUACCUGGCGUUUAUGUGUGUGUGGAGUUUAGGGUUUCAGAGAGAAGACAGGUGUGUGAGUGAACACAGCAGGACUCCCUGCUGACUGCCACCCACCCACCCCCCCAUCCCUUUGAAUAUUUGAGCAGUGGUGCUUUUCUUUGUUGUAACACUUGAUGUCUUGGUGAGGGUUUGUGAGUGAAGCUGUUCUGUUUGCACUAAUUUAAUCCUCGUCGAACAGAUGAAAACUGUUAAGUGUCAGCUGUUGUUUCUCUGAGGAGUUCUGUGGCACUUGAUGACAACAAAACAAUGACAGGGUCAGUCAAAGACGAAGGCAGUAAAUAUUGGGUGAGACGGAGAGAGGAGUACGACAUGCAACAAAGAACUUGGAAGACGACCCCAUGGGCACAAACUAAUUGAUAGAUUUAUUUAUAGUAAAUAUUAUGAGUCUCUAAUAGUUAUGCAUUAAAUCAUCAGUAGUCCAGCGAUUUUUUUUUUUUUUUUUAAUAUUGCAAUGACAAAGUUCAGACAGAGUGUUAGAAAAUGAACAACAUUGAAGCAACAGAGGCCGAGGUGUCCUGACUUUCACUCCCAAGUAUAAGUCCAGCCCCAAAAACACUGGAUCCUACAUUUCCCAAUAUGCAACCAAAAAGCAUCUUUUUUUUUUUACCACAUAGAUGCUGAGAUGACUUAACCAAAUAACCAGGUUGGGUUUCUGGUCUCUUUUCUGUCUCUUUGUCCUUUUCUUGGUUGUUGUUUCAAUUGAUGGACUCGGUCUGCUUCUACUUCCUGCCUUUACAGAUGCAAAUGAGUGUGCAGGAAAGCCCUGUGUGAACACUUACUCUUGCAAAAAUUUGAUUGGCGGAUAUCACUGCGACUGUUUUCGAGGAUGGUCCGGACAAAACUGUGACAUCAACGUCAACGGCUGCCAUGGUCAGUGCCAGAAUGGAGCAACAUGCAAGGUGGGCCCCAGGGGUCACCACUGCCAGUGUCCUCCAGGUUUUGUGGGCUCUCACUGUGAAAUCCAGAGGAAUAAGUGCAACAGCGGACCAUGCCAGAACGGCGGCCAGUGCCACGCAGUGUUGGACGGCUUUGUGUGUCAAUGCCCGCCACAGUUUGCUGGACAGCUGUGUGAGGUGAGUCUCAUGUUCCACGAGUCGCAUUUGAUUGGAUUAUUGUGGAUACAGUGACGGUUUAUAAGCUGGUGGUAGCUUUUGAUUUUUAUAGAAGAGGAUCCCUGUGGACAGCAACUGCCAUAAAGCGUGUCAUAAUGCUCCUAGCAUCCAAUGAACUUUAUAAAUUGCCAUGGAAAAACAUGCCAAUAACAUCACACAAUGGAAGCCAUGAUGAUGAUUUGGUGAAAGGAAGAGAAUUGUAAUACUUGCAUGAUGAUUCAAUUUUUUUAAAUAUACACAAAGCGACUUGGAAUGCUGUGCAAAUGCUCAAACUGCAGUAGUCAUUACAGCACAGUUAUCUAAGCCAACUGUCCUUUGCCAAAGUACGAUCUGCCUAAAAGUUGUGUCGUACGUUCCAAGCCCAAUAAGCCAAGCAUGGGUUUUAUUGCAAACUUCUUCUGUCUUUGCUGCAGCCUUUUUAUAUUUGAGGUGUGUGUGUGUGUGUGUGUGUGUGUGUGUGUGUGUGUGUGUGUGUGGGUGUGUGGGUGUGUGUGUGUGUGUGUGUGUGUGUGUGUGUGUUUGAGGCUAAUGUAGGUUAGCAGUGAGGAAACUGACACUUCACUGCAUCUCUUGGGUCCUGAAUGGAGGACAUUGCUGGUCAGGAGCCAAUCCUGUUUUAGCAUCUCUACUAUAAAUAUGAGCCUCUCUGAAUGAGGGGACGCUGCUGGAUUUCUGCCCGCAUACUGAUGCCUGCUAUGGCACAGUGUAGAUUCCUGCCCUGCAGUGCCACAACUAUGCAUCAUAUUUCCCUGAUUAGUGUCUCCUCUCAAGCCCACAGAAGUUUGAUUGUGAAAAGGUGGUUUUUAAUUUCUGAUCUGAAUGAUGUCUUCAGAAGGAAUAAGGACAACUGGAAAUGCUUAAGAAAUAUAGGUGACAUCCCUGUCUUGAACAAUUCAUACCAGUUUAUAGAUUAUAGCUUCACACACAUCAUUUAUUUUUGGAAGUCCAGGGGAGGGGCCUAAUUGCAGCUUGUGUCAAGAAAUGUAACAACGCGCUCACUAAUGAUUAAAUCUAUAAACCAGCGCAAAAAUGUAAAUGUAUAUCUGCCGUGCAGACAGCUGCCUGCACAUAUUGAAAUAGGCAUAUCUGUAGACAUUUCAGUAAAAAAAAAAAAAACUGUUCCGACAUCGUCUGGUCUUGACACGCAUGGGCCGGUGGGAAUGAUUGAAACGUCUUUUCACAGCGUUGGAAUAUAGGUGCGUUUGCAGGGAUACAGACGGCUUAAAAUAACUCCAAAACAAAGUAGGACAGGGACGUAAAGUGGCAGGCGACCUUCGUUUGCCCAUGGUUAACGUGUGUCUCCCCCCCCCCCUAU